UUGUUUUUUUAAAAUUUAUUUACGAACAUUAUCUCUGAGGGACAACAGCAUGUCUCUGGCGCUCAUCUCUGUACAUGCAACUGUAGAAAAUAACAUUUGUAUUCACUUUGUCUCUUUCUGCAGGAAGUUGAACAGCUAAUGACAGUCCUGUAGCGGCAGAGCUGCGGCUGCGGCAGCACCAGCACUGCCAAACAAUAUGUACACAAACUACAUUGUAAAAAAAAAUUACAUUGUUACAUUACAGACAAUGCACUGUCGCUGCUGUUUGAACCCCACCUUCUACGCAAAUGGACCUAGUACAAAGAGAAGGGUGUGAAUUGACCUGUGAGCUAUUUACAUCUAUGUACACUGUCUCAGAAGCAUUACAAGGAGGGAAAUUUACACUGUCCAGGGGGUGGGGGGGAAUCCACAAAGCACAUGGGUCAAAGGUAAUACAUUACUUUUGCUAUUGUUGUUUGAAAUUGUUGAUUAAAAGGACUCUCCAUGCUUACACAGAUUAAUUUACGAUUAUUUAACCAAAAAGGGGGGGGGAAGCAGGGCUUGAAAAUGAUAUCUGACCAUAAUUUGGUAUGUCCCUUAAAGCAGGAGGGGGGGAGGGAAAGAGGGGGAGAAAAACGUAACCUAGGUCACUCGUGAAUACAUGUUAGACAUUUAUUUUCCCCACUUCUUCCUCCACCCCUGGAAAUAAAUCUGUGCUGGCCCUUUGACAUCGAGGAAAACCAGCCUCUGAAUUGGUUAAUUUAGAUUAAAAGAAAAAAAAGGGGGUGAGGGGAGAGGGGGUGGGUAAUGGUGGCCGGAUAAGGACCUAAAGAGUCAAGAUGGGAAGGAAAAGAGUUGUAAUACACCCAUGAAGCUCAAAAAUACUGAAGUGAGGGGGCAUCAUUACAUUCCACUACGAGCAAAGUGUCGUUACAGCGCACACAGAAUCGCAUCCUCACCGUGCACUGUCCACUUGAACAAGGCUGGGGGCAUACUGGGAAGGGGGCUGCGCGAAGCACCCACAAACAAAACACUCCUGGCAUUAUAACUAGAUGUUCAGAAGAAAAAGGAAAGUCCGAGCAGAUUCAUAGCAAACUGCUCGCCGUACACAAAAGCAGGUAGGUGUGAUCGCCCGCCGCCCUGGCUGUGCCCCGUGUACGGGAGGCUGGCGGUGUUCUUUGCCCUCCCCCCCACCUCCUCAGAGCCUGGAGAUCUAGAAGCUGUCCCGUACAAAGCCAGGAAUUCUAUUAUCUCUAAGGAGGGCUUGGACGUGGGGGAAGAAAGCAGGCGGACACUUGGUUGAAAGAGCUCAUGCGGUAGGCUAACCAAGGUAAAAUCAAGGAGCUCAACUAAAGUGACAUCGAACAUGUAGCAGGGAGCGUCUCAGCCUCUCGGACACUACUGUUCUCGUCAGUGUGGAUGACAAGCCCUUUCUGCCAUGCCCCCUUUCCCCUUCUCCACACUGCCCUUAACACCUGAGUGACUGUAGAGGAGAAACAUG